GACGAACGCUGGCGGCGUGCUUAACACAUGCAAGUCGAACGAAGUGGCGAACGGGUGAGUAAUACGUGGGUAACCUGCCCUCCUUUUUGGGAUAAGCCUUGGAAACGGGGUCUAAUACCGAAUAAAGGGGGAUGGGCUCGCGGCCUAUCAGCUUGUUGGUGGGGUGAUGGCCUACCAAGGCGGUGACGGGUAGCCGGGCUGAGAGGGUGACGGGCCUGAAAGGGACUGAGAGACGGCCCAGGGUCCAACCGGAGGCAGCAGUGGGGGUUCUGGCACGAUGGGCGAAAACCUGAUGCAUCUAUGCCUCGUGGGUGGUGAAGGCGUUCGGGUAGUUAGCCUCGGCCGGUAUCGUACGGGUAGGUGUAGAAGAAGGGCCGGCUAACUACGUUCCAGCAGCCGCGGUAAUUC
rnacentral:rRNA from 1 species